GUUGAAAUACCGGUUCCCGUACGAUCUUCGGUGUUAAAGCAACAUCGAGCCUGGUCAGUACGUAGAUGGGUGACCGCUUGGGAAUACCAGGUGCUGUAAG